GGGCCCGCACAAGCAGCGGAGCAUGUGGUUUAAUUCGAAGCAACGCGAAGAACCUUACCAGGGCUUGACAUAUACAGAAGACAUCAGAGAUGGUGUAGUGCCUGCGCAAGCAGGAGCUGUAAUACAGGUGGUGCAUGGUUGUCGUCAGCUCGUGUCGUGAGAUGUUGGGUUAAGUCCCGCAACGAGCGCAACCCUUGUUAUUAGUUGCUAACACGAAAGGUGAGCACUCUAAUAAGACCGCUAAGGUAAACUUAGAGGAAGGUGGGGAUGACGUCAAAUCAUCAUGCCCUUUAUGUCCUGGGCGACACACGUGCUACAAUGGCUGAAACAAAGAGAAGCAAAGCCGCAAGGCGGAGCGGAACUUAAAAAAACAGUCCCAGUUCGGAUUGAGGGCUGCAACCCGCCCUCAUGAAGCCGGAGUUGCUAGUAAUCGCGAAUCAGCAUGUCGCGGUGAAUACGUUCCCGGGCCUU
rnacentral:rRNA from 1 species